ACAUAAAUCACCCACACACCUUGUUAAAAUGCAGAUUCUAAAUCAGCAGAUCUGGUGAGCCUGAGGUUCUGCAUUUAUAACAAGCUCCCAGGUGAUGCUGAU
rnacentral:pre_miRNA from 1 species